ACUGCGGCAAAAUCCGCAGUCAGGCGUGGAAACCUGAACUAUCACACGACGACACAGUUUUA
rnacentral:sRNA from 3 species